rnacentral:rRNA from 1 species
AGGAAGCCCCGGCUAACUCCGUGCCAGCAGCCGCGGUAAUACGGAGGGGGCAAGCGUUAUUCGGAUUUACUGGGCGUAAAGCGCACGUAGGCGGCAUUGCAAGUCGUAGGUGAAAGCCCUCGGCUCAACCGAGGAAUUGCCUUCGAAACUGCGCUGCUUGAGUCCGGGAGGGGGGAGCGGAAUUCCCAGUGUAGCGGUGAAAUGCGUAGAUACUGGGAGGAACACCGGUGGCGAAGGCGGCUCCCCGGACCGGUACUGACGCUGAGGUGCGAAAGCGUGGGUAGCAAACAGGAUUAGAUACCCUGGUAGUCCACGCCGUAAACGAUGGGCACUAGGUGCAGCGGGUGUCGACCCCUGCUGUGCCGAAGUUAACGCA